rnacentral:piRNA from 1 species
UGUUUUUCNGAAACCUACAUGGCUACUGGA